ensembl:lncRNA
CAAAAUUGCUUGCUGGGAUCUGUCAUUAAUCCCGUUCCCCUUCACCACAACCCAGGUCUGAUGGGGCUUACAGUGCAAUCAAAUAAAUCUCACUCCCUGGCAUUUUGUGAUGUCAUAAUCUAUUAAAACAUUUAUUUCAUAUCAUUAUACAUAAUCCCUUAUGAAAAUUAGCAAUGAUAUUACUAUAGUGAAAGUAUACCAGGCUAACCAUGUUUUUUAAGUAUAUUACUGGAUAUUAAUUUUAUAAUUAAAUCAGUAUCAAGAAAAUGAAUGUGUAAUUACUUAGAGCAACAAAAUGUUUGCUGUAAUGUAAAAAUUAAAAUAUAAUCACCACCCACCUUUAUUGUAUGUUUUUUUCCCCCUUUGCAUUGUUUUUUAAUGAAAGUGAAUGGCAGAAUAAACAUUCUUUCUUACAUGGUACACAAUUUAAUGCAAGUUUGAAAUCUGAGAGUUUUUUAUGUUUAGAUUGUUACAACCACCUGGCUCAAGGUGAAGCAACAUUACAAAGGGGAGGCCACACAUGGAAGUAAAUUUAACAAAUAAACAUUUAAUCAGAAAUAAAUCAAAAUAGUAAUACAAGCAUUAAAGGGAUACUCCACCCCAAAAUGAAAAUUUUGUCAUUAAUCACUUACCCCCAUGUUGUUCCAAAUCCGUAAAAACUCCGUUCGUCUUCGGAACACAAUUUAAGAUAUUUUGGAUGAAAACCUGGAGGCUUGUGACUGUCCCGUAGAUUGCCAAGUAAAUAACAGUGUCAAGAUCCAUAAAAUGUCAGGAAAAUACAGGAUUCAAUUGCAGGUAACAAAAAGUUUAUUACGCCCUCACUGGGCAAACAAGGAAAACCAAAAUGAAGGAUCUCUCCAAGAGCACCGGCCAAAAAGAAACCUCUCAGCAGGGACCGAUCCUAGCGCAUCCCUUGAUGCAGCAUUAAAGUCACACCAUCCAGAGCGUCAUUGGGGACGCAACGUCAAAGUCACACCAAACGAGAAUGCUUAGAGUGCAGAGAAGAGCUGGAGUCCAGUAUCAGGGUCCCAACAGAAAUGAGAUGCCAGGGCCGAAAGCAAAAACUAGUAAAGUCUAGUAGAAAGAGAGGGAACAGUUCUAGACAGAAACCAAAAAAAAUCAAAACACUUGGAGCCUAAGAUAACAUAACACGGCAGGGCUAGGCAAACAAGACAGGACAGUCACUAGCAAAGCAUUACACAACAUACAACGGUCUGACAAAAGACGGAGCCAGAGAGGAACUCAAAUAGGGGAGAGCUAAUGAGGAAAGAGUGGCUACAGGUGUGACAGAACACAGAGAAUUAAAGAUAACGAGUGGGAGGGGGAAGACACCACACUGACAGCAGAACACAUGAGCUGCCAAAACAAAACCCCAUGUGCUCAGAGACAAGGCACAAGACACAAUGACAAAUACACCGCAACUCAGACCUAAGUCAUGACAUAAAAGGUAUGAAAGUCGUCCUCAGAAUACUCCAUCUGCCAUCAGACAUGCAAUCUGGGUUAUAUGAAGUGGCGGGAACACUUUUUGUAUGUGAAGAAAACAAAAAUAAUGACUUUAUUCAAUAAUUCCUUUGUCAACAGUCUCCUCUGUGUCUCUUCAUAUCGCCAUAUGCUUUGUAUGCUUAAAUAGUGUUCCGAAGACGAACGGAGCUUUUACAGGUUUGGAACGACAUGGGGGUAAGUGAUUAAUGACAAAUGUUUCAUUUUGGAGUGGAGUAUCCCUUUAACUAAAACUAUCCAAGACUGAAGAGGAAAAAAUUUAUCAUACCACAGUCCAACUCAAGACACUCCUUUCUCCAACUUCUUUGUUUUUAUCUCCAACUCAAUCACAGGUAACACUCCACGCCACUAGCAAUAAUUAAAUCAUGUACAAGUCACUCAGAGAAAAAUUCAACAUUUUUAUAGUCCAUAUUGAUGAAUGAUGCAAUGCGUUCUCUAUGUAUAUUGUAACUACUCAUUAGUACAUUUGGCUUGCAUGCAUGAGACACUGCAGAAUCCUGGAUGGAAGGCUUCUGAGUAGAUGCCACGUAGCUCACCUCGUCUACCCUAUAUCUGUACUUCUGCCAUUAAGAGAAACCUUGUUCAUGGAGAAACCCAAAAAAUAAAAAAUGACAAUUUUAAUGUCAAUAUUUACUUUGUAGCCUCAAGAAGUGUGACUGUUUCUUGAAGUUUUGUUCCCCAACUAGGUUUCUGAAUCUGGUGCAAACCAAUGACAAUUUCAUGUAGGCAGCAUCUCCUUCUUCAAGAAUAACUUU